GACGAACGCUGGCGGCGUGCUUAACACAUGCAAGUCGAACGGAAAGGCCCUGCUUUUGUGGGGUGCUCGAGUGGCGAACGGGUGAGUAACACGUGAGUAACCUGCCCUUGACUUUGGGAUAACUUCAGGAAACUGGGGCUAAUACCGGAUAGGAGCUCCUGCUGCAUGGUGGGGGUUGGAAAGUUUCGGCGGUUGGGGAUGGACUCGCGGCGUAUCAGCUUGUUGGUGGGGUAGUGGCUUACCAAGGCUUUGACGGGCAGCCGGCCUGAGAGGGUGACCGGCCACAUUGGGACUGAGAUGCGGCCCAGACUCCUACGGGAGGCAGCAGUGGGGAAUAGUGCACAAUGGGCGGAAGCCUGAUGCAGCAACGCCGCGUGCGGGAUGACGGCCUUCGGGUUGUAAACCGCUUUCGCCUGUGACGAAGCGUGAGUGACGGUAAUGGGUAAAGAAGCACCGGCUAACUACGUG
rnacentral:rRNA from 1 species